rnacentral:rRNA from 1 species
UGCUUAACACAUGCAAGUCGAACGAUGAUGCCCAGCUUGCUGGGUGGAUUAGUGGCGAACGGGUGAGUAACACGUGAGUAACCUGCCCUUAACUCUGGGAUAAGCCUGGGAAACUGGGUCUAAUACCGGAUAUGACUCCUCAUCGCAUGGUGGGGGGUGGAAAGCUUUUUGUGGUUUUGGAUGGACUCGCGGCCUAUCAGCUUGUUGGUGAGGUAAUGGCUUACCAAGGCGACGACGGGUAGCCGGCCUGAGAGGGUGACCGGCCACACUGGGACUGAGACACGGCCCAGACUCCUACGGGAGGCAGCAGUGGGGAAUAUUGCACAAUGGGCGCAAGCCUGAUGCAGCGACGCCGCGUGAGGGAUGACGGCCUUCGGGUUGUAAACCUCUUUCAGUAGGGAAGAAGCGAAAGUGACGGUACCUGCAGAAGAAGCGCCGGCUAACUACGUGCCAGCAGCCGCGGUAAUACGUAGGGCGCAAGCGUUAUCCGGAAUUAUUGGGCGUAAAGAGCUCGUAGGCGGUUUGUCGCGUCUGCCGUGAAAGUCCGGGGCUCAACUCCGGAUCUGCGGUGGGUACGGGCAGACUAGAGUGAUGUAGGGGAGACUGGAAUUCCUGGUGUAGCGGUGAAAUGC